CAGACACCUGCAGACCUCCCUCACCGCCUGCGAAGCGAAUUCCCUGCAGAGGAGCAUUCUCUGGAGGAGGAAGCAGGAGAAUCUCGGAAGAAUGGAUCUGGAGUCCCUGCCUCUUGACACCUGUGUUGCCUUUGAGCUUCUCAGUGAUGAACCUUUAAGAGGUCUGGGCGGUGGCGCAGCCUGUUAACUGCACAUGGUACAAGGAUCCAGGUUUCCUACCUGUAGGCGGGAAACUCUGCAAGCGGCAAA